AUGCCCUUCACUACGGAAUAGCCUCGGGAAACUGAGAGUAAUACCGUAUACGCCCUUUGGGGAAAGAUUUAUCGGUGAAGGAUUAGCCCGCGUCUGAUUAGAUAGUUGGUGGGGUAACGGCCUACCAAGUCGACGAUCAGUAGCUGGUUUGAGAGGAUGAUCAGCAACACUGGGACUGAGACACGGCCCAGACUCCUACGGGAGGCAGCAGUGGGGAAUCUUAGACAAUGGGCGCAAGUGAUCUAGCCAUGCCGCGUGAGUGACGAAGGCCUUAGGGUCGUAAAGCUCUUUCGCCAGGGAUGAUAAUGACAGUACCUGGUAAAGAAACCCCGGCUAACUCCGUGCCAGCAGCCGCGGUAAUACGGAGGGGGUUAGCGUUGUUCGGAAUUACUGGGCGUAAAGCGCGCGUAGGGGAUUGGAAAGUUGGGGGUGAAAUCCCGGGGCUCAACCCCGAACUGCCUCCAAAACUAUCAGUCUAGAGUUCGAGAGAGGUGAGUGGAAUUCCAAGUGUAGAGGUGAAAUUCGUAGAUAUUUGGAGGAACACCAGUGGCGAAGGGGCUCACUGGCUCGAUACUGACGCUGAGGUGCGAAAGUGUGGGGAGCAAACAGGAUUAGAUACCCUGGUAGUCCACACCGUAAACGAUGAAUGCCAGACGUCGGGGGGCUUGCCUUCGGUGUCACACCUAACGGAUUAAGCAUUCCGCCUGGGGAG
rnacentral:rRNA from 1 species